rnacentral:rRNA from 1 species
CCCAGACUCCUACGGGAGGCAGCAGUGGGGAAUAUUGCACAAUGGGGGAAACCCUGAUGCAGCGACGCCGCGUGAGUGAAGAAGUAUUUCGGUAUGUAAAGCUCUAUCAGCAGGAACGAGACAAGACGGUACCUGACUAAGAAGCCCCGGCUAACUACGUGCCAGCAGCCGCGGUAAUACGUAGGGGGCAAGCGUUAUCCGGAAUCACUGGGUGUAAAGGGAGCGUAGACGGCUGUGCAAGCCUGAAGUGAAAGGCGGGGGCCCAACCCCUGGACUGCUUUGGGAACUGUACGGCUGGAGUGCAGGAGAGGUAAGUGGAAUUCCUAGUGUAGCGGUGAAAUGCGUAGAUAUUAGGAGGAACACCAGUGGCGAAGGCGGUUUACUGGACUGUAACUGACGUUGAGGCUCGAAAGCGUGGGGAGCAAACAGGAUUAGAUACCCUGGUAAC